rnacentral:rRNA from 1 species
CCUACGGGAGGCAGCAGUGAGGAAUAUUGGUCAAUGGACGAGAGUCUGAACCAGCCAAGUAGCGUGAAGGAUGACUGCCCUCUGGGUUGUAAACUUCUUUUAUAUGGGAAUAAAAUGUUCCACGUGUGGGAUUUUGUAUGUACCAUAUGAAUAAGGAUCGGCUAACUCCGUGCCGGCAGCCGCGGUAAUACGGAGGAUCCGAGCGUUAUCCGGAUUUAUUGGGUUUAAAGGGAGCGUAGGUGGGUUGUUAAGUCAGUUGUGAAAGUUUGCGGCUCAACCGUAAAAUUGCAGUUGAGACUGGCAGUCUUGAGUACAGUAGAGGUGAGCGGAAUUCGUGGUGUAGCGGUGAAAUGCGUAGAUAUCACGAAGAACUCCGAUUGCGAAGGCAGUUCACUGGACUACAACUGACACUGAGGCUCGAAAGUGUGGGUAUCAAACAGGAUUAGAUACCCGUGUAGUC